rnacentral:rRNA from 1 species
CCAAAGCUGGCGACCGGCGCACGGGUGAGUAACACGUAUCCAACCUGCCUCAUACUCGGGGAUAGCCUUUCGAAAGAAAGAUUAAUAUCCGAUAGCAUAUAUUUCCCGCAUGGGUUUUAUAUUAAAGAAAUUCGGUAUGAGAUGGGGAUGCGUUCCAUUAGUUUGUUGGGGGGGUAACGGCCCACCUAGUCUUCGAUGGAUAGGGGUUCUGAGAGGAAGGUCCCCCACAUUGGAACUGAGACACGGUCCAA